GACGAACGCUGGCGGCGUGCUUAACACAUGCAAGUCGAACGGAAAGGCCCUGCUUUUGUGGGGUGCUCGAGUGGCGAACGGGUGAGUAACACGUGAGUAACCUGCCCUUGACUUUGGGAUAACUUCAGGAAACUGGGGCUAAUACCGGAUAGGAGCUCCUGCUGCAUGGUGGGGGUUGGAAAGUUUCGGCGGUUGGGGAUGGACUCGCGGCUUAUCAGCUUGUUGGUGGGGUAGUGGCUUACCAAGGCUUUGACGGGUAGCCGGCCUGAGAGGGUGACCGGCCACAUUGGGCCUGAGGUACGGCCCAGACUCCUACGGGAGGCAGCGGUGGAGAAUAUUGCACAAUGGGCCGAAGCCUGAUGCAGCAGCGCCGCGUGCGGGAUGACGGCCUUCGGGUUGUAAACCGCUUUCGCCUGUGACGAGGCGUGAGUGACGGUAAUGGGUAAAGAAGCACCGGCUAACUACGUG
rnacentral:rRNA from 1 species